rnacentral:tRNA from 1 species
GGGCGAAUGGCUCAGAGGUAGAGCACUUGCUUCACAAGCAAGGGGUCACAGGUUCGAUUCCUGUUUCGCCCACCA